ensembl:misc_RNA Metazoa_SRP Metazoan signal recognition particle RNA
GCCAGGCACGGUUGGUGCCUGCCUGUAGUCCCAGUUACUCAGGAGACUGAGGUGGGGGGAUCGCUUGAACCCAGGAAUUCUGGGCUGUAGUGCACUAUGGUGAUCGGGUGUCCGCACUAAGUUUGGCAACAAUAUGGUGACAACCCGGGAGUGGGGGACCACCAGGUUGCCAGUGAACUGGCCCAGAUCAGAAACGGAGCAGGUCAAAACUCCCAUGCUGAUCAGUAGUGGCAUCUUGCCUGUGAAUAGCCACUGCACUCCAGCCCGGGCAACAUAGCAAGACCCCAUGUCUU